rnacentral:rRNA from 1 species
AGCGGCGGACGGGUGAGUAACACGUGGAUAACCUACCUAUAAGACUGGGAUAACUUCGGGAAACCGGAGCUAAUACCGGAUAACAUAUUGAACCGCAUGGUUCAAUAGUGAAAGGCGGCUUUGCUGUCACUUAUAGAUGGAUCCGCGCCGUAUUAGCUAGUUGGUAAGGUAACGGCUUACCAAGGCAACGAUACGUAGCCGACCUGAGAGGGUGAUCGGCCACACUGGAACUGAGACACGGUCCAGACUCCUACGGGAGGCAGCAGUAGGGAAUCUUCCGCAAUGGGCGAAAGCCUGACGGAGCAACGCCGCGUGAGUGAUGAAGGUCUUCGGAUCGUAAAACUCUGUUAUCAGGGAAGAACAAAUGUGUAAGUAACUGUGCACAUCUUGACGGUACCUGAUCAGAAAGCCACGGCUAACUACGUGCCAGCAGCCGCGGUAAUACGUAGGUGGCAAGCGUUAUCCGGAAUUAUUGGGCGUAAAGCGCGCGUAGGCGGUUUUUUAAGUCUGAUGUGAAAGCCCACGGCUCAACCGUGGAGGGUCAUUGGAAACUGGAAUACUUGAGUGCAGAAGAGGAAAGUGGAAUUCCAUGUGUAGCGGUGAAAUGCGCAGAGAUAUGGAGGAACACCAGUGGCGAAGGCGACUUUCUGGUCUGUAACUGACGCUGAUGUGCGAAAGCGUGGGGAUCAAACAGGAUUAGAUACCCUGGUAGUCCACGCCGUAAACGAUGAGUGCUAAGUGUUAGGGGUAUUCCGCCCCCUUAGUGCUGCAGCUAACGCAUUAAGCACUCCGCCUGGGGAGUACGACCGCAAGGUUGAAACUCAAAGGAAUUGACGCGGACCCGCACAAGCGGUGGAGCA